rnacentral:rRNA from 1 species
UCGAGAAUUUUUCUCAAUGGGCGAAAGCCUGAAGGAGCGACGCCGCGUGGGGGAUGAAUGGCUUCGGCCCGUAAACCCCUGUCAUUUGCGAUCAAACCGCAUUAUUUAAAAGAUGAUGCGCUGAUAGUAGCGAAAGAGGAAGGGACGGCUAACUCUGUGCCAGCAGCCGCGGUAAUACAGAGGUCCCAAGCGUUGUUCGGAUUCACUGGGCGUAAAGGGUGCGUAGGUGGCCGGGUAAGUCUGACGUGAAAUCUCCAAGCUCAACUUGGAAACUGCAUCGGAUACUAUCCGGCUCGAGGAUCGGAGGGGAGACUGGAAUACUUGGUGUAGCAGUGAAAUGCGUAGAUAUCAAGUGGAACACCAGUGGCGAAGGCGAGUCUCUGGACGAUUCCUGACGCUGAGGCACGAAAGCCAGGGGAGCAAACGGGAUUAGAUACCCCGGUAGUCCUGGCCGUAAACGGUGCACGUUUGCUGUAAGAGGAUUCGA